rnacentral:rRNA from 1 species
UACAGAGGGUGCGAGCGUUAAUCGGAAUUACUGGGCGUAAAGAGCGCGCAGGCGGUCGUUCAAGUCGAGUGUGAAAGCCCCCGGCUCAACUGGGGAGGGUCACUCGAUACUGAUCGACUCGAAGGCAGGAGAGGGUAGUGGAAUCCCGGUGUAGAGGUGAAAUUCGUAGAUAUUCGCAAGAACACCAGUGGCGAAGGCGGCUCACUGGCCCGGUACUGACGCUGAGGUGCGAAAGCGUGGGGAGCAAACAGG